rnacentral:rRNA from 1 species
UCAGCCGCCGCGGUAACACCGGCGGCCCGAGUGGUGAUCGUGAUUAUUGGGUCUAAAGGGUCCGUAGCCGGUUGGUCAGUCCUCCGGGAAAUCUGAUAGCUCAACUAUUAGGCUUUCGGGGGAUACUGCCAGACUUGGAACCGGGAGAGGUAAGAGGUACUACAGGGGUAGGAGUGAAAUCUUGUAAUCCCUGUGGGACCACCUGUGGCGAAGGCAUCUUACCAGAACGGGUUCGACGGUGAGGGCGAAAGCUGGGGGCACGAACCGGAUUAGAUACCCGGGUAGUCCCAGCCGUAAACGAUGCUCGCUAGGUGUCAGGCAUGGCGCGACCGUGUCUGGUGCCGCAGGGAAGCCGUGAAGCGAGCCACCUGGGAAGUACGGCCGCAAGGCUGAAACUUAAAGGAAUUGGCGGGGGAGCACAACAACGGGUGGGAAGCCUGCGGUUUAAUUGGACUCAACGCCGGACAACUCACCGGGGGCGACAGCAAUAUGUAGGCCAAGCUGAAGACUUUGCCUGAAUCGCUGAGAGGAGGUGCAUGG